rnacentral:rRNA from 1 species
AAACUUUCAAAAACGGAUCUCUUGGUUCUGGCAUCGAUGAAGAACGCAGCGAAAUGCGAUAAGUAGUGUGAAUUGCAGAAUUCAGUGAAUCAUCGAAUCUUUGAACGCAAU